rnacentral:rRNA from 1 species
GAUGAACGCUGGCGGCGUGCCUAAUACAUGCAAGUCGAGCGAACAGACGAGGAGCUUGCUCCUCUGACGUUAGCGGCGGACGGGUGAGUAACACGUGGAUAACCUACCUAUAAGACUGGGAUAACUUCGGGAAACCGGAGCUAAUACCGGAUAAUAUAUUGAACCGCAUGGUUCAAUAGUGAAAGACGGUUUUGCUGUCACUUAUAGAUGGAUCCGCGCCGCAUUAGCUAGUUGGUAAGGUAACGGCUUACCAAGGCAACGAUGCGUAGCCGACCUGAGAGGGGGAUCGGCCACACUGGAACUGAGACACGGUCCAGACUCCGACGGGAGGCAGCAGUAGGGAAUCUUCCGCAAUGGGCGAAAGCCUGACGGAGCAACGCCGCGUGAGUGAUGAAGGUCUUCGGAUCGUAAAACUCUGUUAUUAGGGAAGAACAAAUGUGUAAGUAACUAUGCACGUCUGGACGGUACCUAAUCAGAAAGCCACGGCUAACUACGU